CACGUAGGCACCAAGCGUUGUCCGGAUUUAUUGGGCGUAAAGGGCUCGUAGGCGGUUCGGUAAGUCGGGUGUGAAAACUCUGGGCUCAACCCAGAGCCGCCACCCGAUACUGCUGUGACUCGAGUGCGGUAGGGGAGCGGGGAAUUCCUGGUGUAGCGGUGAAAUGCGCAGAUAUCAGGAGGAACACCAGUGGCGAAGGCGCCGCUCUGGGCCGUGACUGACGCUGAAGAGCGAAAGCGUGGUAGC
rnacentral:rRNA from 1 species